GACGAACGCUGGCGGCGUGCUUAACACAUGCAAGUCGAACGGAAAGGCCCUGCUUUUGUGGGGUGCUCGAGUGGCGAACGGGUGAGUAACACGUGAGUAACCUGCCCUUGACUUUGGGAUAACUUCAGGAAACUGGGGCUAAUACCGGAUAGGAGCUCCUGCUGCAUGGUGGGGGUUGGAAAGUUUCGGCGGUUGGGGAUGGACUCGCGGCUUAUCAGCUUGUUGGUGGGGUAGUGGCUUACCAAGGCUUUGACGGGUAGCCGGCCUGAGAGGGUGACCGGCCACAUUGGGACUGAGAUACGGCCCAGACUCCUACGGGAGGCAGCAGUGGGGAAUAUUGCACAAUGGGCGGAAGCCUGAUGCAGCAACGCCGCGUGCGGGAUGACGGCCUUCGGGUUGUAAACCGCUUUCGCCUGUGACGAAGCGUGAGUGACGGUAAUGGGUAAAGAAGCACCGGCUAACUACGUGCCAGCAGCCGCGGUGAUACGUAGGGUGCGAGCGUUGUCCGGAUUUAUUGGGCGUAAAGGGCUCGUAGGUGGUUGAUCGCGUCGGAAGUGUAAUCUUGGGGCUUAACCCUGAGCGUGCUUUCGAUACGGGUUGACUUGAGGAAGGUAGGGGAGAAUGGAAUUCCUGGUGGAGCGGUGGAAUGCGCAGAUAUCAGGAGGAACACCAGUGGCGAAGGCGGUUCUCUGGGCCUUUCCUGACGCUGAGGAGCGAAAGCGUGGGGAGCGAACAGGCUUAGAUACCCUGGUAGUCCACGCUGUAAACGGUGGGUACUAGGUGUGGGGUCCAUUCCACGGGUUCCGUGCCGUAGCUAACGCUUUAAGUACCCCGCCUGGGGAGUACGGCCGCAAGGCUAAAACUCAAAGGAAUUGACGGGGCCCCGCACAAGCGGCGGAGCAUGCGGAUUAAUUCGAUGCAACGCGUAGAACCUUACCUGGGUUUGACAUGGAUCGGGAGCGCUCAGAGAUGGGUGUGCCUCUUUUAGGGUCGGUUCACAGGUGGUGCAUGGCUGUCGUCAGCUCGUGUCGUGAGAUGUUGGGUUAAGUCCCGCAACGAGCGCAACCCUUGUUCACUGUUGCCAGCACGUUAUGGUGGGGACUCAGUGGAGACCGCCGGGGUCAACUCGGAGGAAGGUGGGGAUGACGUCAAGUCAUCAUGCCCCUUAUGUCCAGGGCUUCACGCAUGCUACAAUGGCUGGUACAGAGAGUGGCGAGCCUGUGAGGGUGAGCGAAUCUCGGAAAGCCGGUCUCAGUUCGGAUUGGGGUCUGCAACUCGACCUCAUGAAGUCGGAGUCGCUAGUAAUCGCAGAUCAGCAACGCUGCGGUGAAUACGUUCCCGGG
rnacentral:rRNA from 1 species